AAAAACUCAAAUUUUCAAAUUUCAACUUCAGAAUCCACGAUCUCAAAUCUUGUUUAGCUUACUUGUUGAACUAAAGAGGUGUGGGGUUUUAUUAGUGUCAAUCAAUGUCAAGCCCAUGCCCAAAUAACAUAACACAAAGCUAACACUAUUGGCUUCAUUAUGUUUGUUUAAUAAGACAGAUAGUCACACUGUGUUGGGAAUAGACAUAUACAAACUUACAAGGCACAAAGGAUUUCUCUUUCAAUGUCCUUAAAUUGUCUCCUUAACCUUCUUUUUCCCCUCUCUUCCUAUCACACCUAAUUCCCUCAUAGACUUAGUAGUAAGUACUACCAACACAUGAUUUUAAGGAUAGGACAACUUUGCUCAUCAAACACCCUCUUUUUAUCAUAAAGGUUGUGAAGAAAACAAAACAAACAAAGAAGUUUCACUAAAAGGGAGGAAGGGUAAAGGUCUCUUCAUUCUUGAUAAAAAGUCUGGAGUUCAAAUCUUUAAAUGAAAUAAAGAUCUCUUCAUUCUUGACGAGAAGUCUUAGAUUUGAAUCUUGAGAUGAAACUUUUUUUUGGGGGGGUAGGAGCCACUAAGUGUUUCAUGUAAUGGUGUGUAGUGGAAUGGUAAUGGAGAAGUCUCGAGUUCGAAUCAUGAGAUUUUCUUUGGAUUUAUUUUGGUGCUGAAAAAAAAUUGGUGGAAAAUUAUCAAACAGUUGGUGUGCAAUGAAGGUUCUUGUUGAUUUUGGUUCUGUAGAUUUCAAGAAAAUGUCAGAAAUGCAAAUGCAGAAAGUACUUACUUUGUGGGUUUCAAAGUUGGAUUUUUUCUGCUUAAAAUGGAUUUUUCCGGCGGUUUUUUCAUCAGUUCUUGAUUUCCCGGUGGAUUGACGGCGGUGGACGGUGGUGAUAUUGGCGGGGACGGCUCAAUCUUUUCUCUCUGAAAAUGGUACUUUUGUAUAUCAUUUUGAUCUUGAUUUUCACUUUAUUUUUCUACAAUAAUUUUGGUUUUUUUUUAAUGUUAUUUUUGUUGUAGAGAAUUUGGAAUUAAUUGUAUUAUUAGUAUUAUCUUUUGGAAGAAGAUAAAAAAUUACAAUUAUAUAGGA